GGACCAAAUCUGGACACCAGAACGAAUACAUUAAGCUGUAGAGGUUCUGGUUACCAUACCAUCUCUAAGCAUCCAAUGUACUGCUACAGAGUGCGUUCCUUUACAGCUGUGGAUGAGGCUGGUGGCUGUAAUACAACUGCGAUCCACUUUUUAAACAAACUGUGAUGAACUAUGUAUCCCAUAAACCGUCAGGGCAUGAAAAUGAAUGGCUCGUGACUGUUGGGACCAUUUCCUACAAAGCUGACAACUGGAAUACAGCUCCCACAAACAUCUGCUGUUCACGUUUUAAAGGACCACUAUAAUGCCAGGAAAACAUACUCAUUUUCCUGGCACUAUAGUGCCCUGAGGGUGCCCCCACCCUCAGGGUCCUCAUCCAGCCGGGCUGAAGUGGGAGGAAGGGGUUAAACACACACUUUUCUCCAGCGCUGGGGACUCUCCUUCUUUGGCCGUCAUUGGCUGAAUGCACAUGCGCGGCAAGAGCCGCGCGCAUUCAGCCAGUCCAUAGGAAAGCAUUCUCAAUGCGUUCCUAUGAAUGCUGGCGUCUUCUCACUGUGAAAA